rnacentral:tRNA from 1 species
GGGCGUGUACCCAAGUGGCCAAAGGGGACGGGCUGUAAACCCGUUGGUAAUACCUUCGAAGGUUCGAAUCCUUCCGCGCCCA